AGCAUUCAGUUGGGCACUUUAAAGAGACUGCCAGUGUUAAGCGGAGGAAGGUGGGAUGACGUCAAGUCCUCAUGGCCUUUAUGCCCAGGGCUACACACGUGCUACAAUGGGUGGUACAAAGAGAUGCCAACUCGCGAGAGCGCGCCAAUCUCAGAAAGCCAUCCUCAGUUCGGAUUGGAGUCUGCAACUCGACUCCAUGAAGUUGGAAUCGCUAGUAAUCGCGGAUCAGCACGCCGCGGUCGAAUACGUUCCCGGGCCUU
rnacentral:rRNA from 1 species